rnacentral:lncRNA from 1 species
GCCCUGGCCGCCCUACCUGGUAUCUGGGAUCUUCUGGGUGCACAGCCACUGCCACGUCUCCCAGCAUGGUCUCAAUCCGGGUUGUCGCCACCACCACCUCUUCGUCACUGUCUGGGGUAACAGAGGCCUCAGGGGCUCAGGCCUGGCCCUGCCCCACCCAGCCCAGAGACCUGGUGCCCCAGGCUCCUACCUGAGCCCUGGACCUUAUAAGCAAAGGACACAAGGACCCCAAACUCCACCUUCUCCUUGUAGCCAGGCACAGAGAGAAGGGUGCGACCCGUCAACUCCUUCUUAUCCACCUGCAGGAGGGGUAUUUAGAGAGCUAGCUCUGGAGCAAGGGCUGGGGACAGACUGAGACAGGGGGGGGGGGCAGUGCACCUCGAUGUCGGAGAUGGCGGAGUUGAGGGUGCAGGACCAGUUGACCAGGCGCGUGCUGCGGUAGAUGACGCCUUCCUCAUGAAGACGGACAAAAGCCUCCGUUACGGCUGCUGACAGUUUCUAGGGUGGAGCAGGGACAAGUCAGAGAGCUGGGCUUGGGAGCCUGGAGGCUGAGGCAGACGCGCAAGGCGGCAAGGUCCAGGGAGGCCUGUCCUGCCAGUCCCCCAGAUGCACACGGGGCUGCUCUGAGGGAGAAGUGCAGGUGACAAGCCUGUGUGAUGCUGGGAUGGUGAGGAGCCGGGGUCACGUGCUGGUGCAAGGCAUCCUGGGAGCUCAGGUGCCAUGGGAGGGGGAGGCCUAAUCACGGAGAAAUGUGGAGCCUUGGGGUGACUGAGGACAGAGGAUGUGAAGGGCUACAACUGGGGUAGGAAGUGGCAUUUGCAGCUAAGCCUUCAGGGUGUCCUAGGAGAGGGGUCACCUCCUAAGGGAAGGUCGAAACAGGGCUCCUCUGCUGAGCCCCGACCUGGGGAGCCUCCCAUUCCCACCCCAGCCCAGAGACCCCGUCCUACGCACAGGGUCCAUGGUGAAACAGGCUCGCUCCCAGUCCAGGGAGCUGCCAAGCUUCUUCAGCUGGUGGUAAAUCCGGCCACCGUGCCUGCUGCAGGCGCCCGCGAGGUCGCUGCCUACUCACUCCUCCUUCCACUUCCAGACCUCCUGCAGGAAGGCCUCACGCCCCAGCUGGUGCCGGCUCAGGCCCCGCUCCCGCCAUAGCUUCUUCUCCACCACCACCUGGGUGGCGAUGCCUGCAUGGUCACAGCCUGGGUUCCACAAGGUGGUCUCGCCGCGCAUGCGGUGCCUGGGGGAGGGCAGGAGAGCGAGGGUGAGCCAGGCCAGUGUCCAGCACUGGAAGAAGCAGG